ensembl:miRNA
CCAGUUAAGUUUAAAUUUCAGAUAAACAAUGAAUAAUGUUGUAGUAUAAGUGUGUCCUGUGCAAUAUUUGGGACAUACUUAUGCAAAAAUAUUAUUCCUUGUUUAUCUGAAUUUCAAAGUCAACCGGGUGUCCUGU